GCCAACAGCCAUGUCACCCUGCAACUUACAAUUGGCAGCCCACAGGUGUGAGCCUGGUUAGUACCUGGAUGGGAGACCUCCUGGGAAAAACUAAGGUUGCUGCUGGAA
rnacentral:rRNA from 1 species